ensembl:lncRNA
CUCCAGUACCGUACCCAGGCAGUCAUGUCACAAUUCCCAGUACGAAUGAUGUCUUGAGCUUUCAAGUUUACUAGCUCUGCAGUGUUAUGCCAUGCCAUAUGACUGUGUAAUGUUUUUUCAUAUAGCUUUUCAUUUUCAACACAAAUAUUACUGUCUCGUGUUGUUCAUAGAGGGUUUUUCGAUGAUCCCUUUAAAGUUGAAAAGGGUUCUCAGUUGAAGCAUUCAGGGUUCUAAUAGGAAAGUUUGACUGAUAAUGGUUCUGAGAAGAACCAUAUACAGGUUGUUACAGGAAUUAUCCAAAAUAGGUUUUCUAUGUAGAAAUCUCAUUUGGUCCUACAUAUCAUAUUAUUUUAUAUGUAGGACUACUAACCCUGAUAACCUCUCUGAGUCUGGUUUCUUCCUAAAUUUCAGCCUUUUAGGGAGUUUUUCGUAGCCACUGAAAUUCAACAGUUUUGUUCUUUGCACCUAGGGGUUUCAGGCUAGGUGUUUUGUAAAAGCACUUUGUGACAACUGCUGAUGUAAAAAGUGCUUUAUAAAUGAAUGUGAUUGAUUGAUUUUGCAAUUUUUAGAAUUUUGAGAGAAAAACACUGUGGAAGACAUGUAACUUUUUUCACUCUUACCUAUUUUACUCUUUAAUUUACUAUUAUCCCCAGCGUGCUGAAGCUUUCAACAGUGUGCUGAAAAGAUCAUGGAUUUUUCACUGGCAAAGCUACUUUGAGGUACAUAGUUCUGUGUCCCUUUAAUCUUCUCUUACCUUUUUGUUAUCCAUAUAUGUCAGGGGGUGGACUAUUAAGCACCAUGUUAUUGUCAUGUUUACCUUUUUAUUAGUCCAACAUUUAGGUCACUGUUAUGUACUUAGUGUAUGUCUUCUUACAUAAUUUUCUCUUUGAUAAAUCUUGCUUAUACCAUUAUUUGUAUAAUAGUACUGUUAUUCCUUUGAAGUCCAUGCAGGUUACUGAUUUGUUGGACAUAUCUAAUCCUAUACACAUACACUUGGUCCAAUACUGCUACCUCACACUUGUUGAGAAGCAGCUUCAAACAGAACAGAACGAAUGGAAUGACCACAUGAUCCGGAAGCAAGUUGGAGCAGCUGGGCCUUUUGGAAAACCAAACAUCAUGUAUUUCACACCUACCACUGGAACACCGAAUCUGCUUUGUCCAGUGGACAGAGACCUGACACACUAUGCCGCAACACUGGUGUGUGAAGAUGGAGCAGCACUGCUGGUUGCUAAUGAAGCUUUCCGAACACUCUGCCACAGAGUUCUUGCUCGUUCUGCUCUCCACAUUGACCACAUGUGUGUAGAGCGGUCGAUGGCUGCAUAUGUGUGCCUGAAGAACUUUUUCUUAGAAAAGUUGAUUGAUCUUUCAGUUGAUCAGCCUCAAAAUUUUGAAGAGGCUUGCCUUUUUUAUAUUACCAUUUAGGAUCCUUACAAUGAAUUAAUAUUAAGGACCUAGUAAGGUGUAGGCCAAACCAUUGUUAUCAGAACCUGACCUACUGUGUUUUUGGGUCAUUUACCUGUUUUUUCACAUCUUUUGCCAGCCUUUACCUGCGCAGUAGCCAGCCUCUAUUCUUUGGAUUUAGACCUAUAGCCUGCCAGACUAUUUUGCCUGGCUGCUGUUUUUGUCUUAUUGCCUCAAAUAAAACCCUUUUAUGCUCUACGCAUGCAUCUAUACCUGCCUGUGGGUCGUAUUCCUUACACCUACACUCCUCGUUCAAUUUUGAAUUGUUUACA